AAACACAUACGAUUAAAUUACGUUAUUUUGUAAGAGCUAAUGUUAAAUAUAUCAUUAAUUAAAUUAACGUAACUUUGUAUAUAUUAAAAAAUUUAAUUAUAAUACGGAACCGAAUGGAACCGAACCGGACCGAACCGAACCGAAUGGAACCGAACCCGAACGGUUCCGUAAUUAAAUUUGGACUCGACGGUUCCACUUACUAAAUACCC
rnacentral:lncRNA from 1 species